rnacentral:rRNA from 1 species
UUAAGCGACUAAGCGUACACGGUGGAUGCCCUGGCAGUCAGAGGCGAUGAAGGACGUGCUAAUCUGCGAAAAGCGUCGGUAAGGUGAUAUGAACCGUUAUAACCGGCGAUGUCCGAAUGGGGAAACCCAGUGCAAUUCGUUGCACUAUCGUUAACUGAAUACAUAGGUUAACGAGGCGAACCGGGGGAACUGAAACAUCUAAGUACCCCGAGGAAAAGAAAUCAACCGAGAUUCCCCCAGUAGCGGCGAGCGAACGGGGAGCAGCCCAGAGUCUGAAUCAGCUUGUGUGUUAGUGGAACGGUCUGGAAAGUCCGACGGUACAGGGUGAUAGUCCCGUACACCAAAAUGCACAGGCUGUGAACUCGAAGAGUAGGGCGGGACACGUGGUAUCCUGUCUGAAUAUGGGGGGACCAUCCUCCAAGGCUAAAUACUCCUGACUGACCGAUAGUGAACCAGUACGUGAGGGAAAGGCGAAAAGAACCCCGGCGAGGGGAGUGAAAAAGAACCUGAAACCGUGUACGUACAAGCAGUGGGAGCACCUUCGGGUGUGACUGCGUACCUUUUGUAUAAUGGGUCAGCGACUUAUAUUCUGUAGCAAGGUUAACCGUAUAGGGGAGCCGCAGGGAAACCGAGUCUUAACUGGGCGUUAAGUUGCAGGGUAUAGACCCGAAACCCGGUGAUCUAGCCAUGGGCAGGUUGAAGGUUGGGUAACACUAACUGGAGGACCGAACCGACUAAUGUUGAAAAAUUAGCGGAUGACUUGUGGCUGGGGGUGAAAGGCCAAUCAAACCGGGAGAUAGCUGGUUCUCCCCGAAAGCUAUUUAGGUAGCGCCUCGUGAACUCAUCUUCGGGGGUAGAGCACUGUUUCGGCUAGGGGGUCAUCCCGACUUACCAACCCGAUGCAAACUACGAAUACCGAAGAAUGUUAUCACGGGAGACACACGGCGGGUGCUAACGUCCGUCGUGAAGAGGGAAACAACCCAGACCGCCAGCUAAGGUCCCAAAGUCAUGGUUAAGUGGGAAACGAUGUGGGAAGGCACAGACAGCCAGGAUGUUGGCUUAGAAGCAGCCAUCAUUUAAAGAAAGCGUAAUAGCUCACUGGUCGAGUCGGCCUGCGCGGAAGAUGUAACGGGGCUAAACCAUGCACCGAAGCUGCGGCAGCGACACUAUGUGUUGUUGGGUAGGGGAGCGUUCUGUAAGCCUGCGAAGGUGACCUGUGAGGGUUGCUGGAGGUAUCAGAAGUGCGAAUGCUGACAUAAGUAACGAUAAAGCGGGUGAAAAGCCCGCUCGCCGGAAGACCAAGGGUUCCUGUCCAACGUUAAUCGGGGCAGGGUGAGUCGACCCCUAAGGCGAGGCCGAAAGGCGUAGUCGAUGGGAAACAGGUUAAUAUUCCUGUACUUGGUGUUACUGCGAAGGGGGGACGGAGAAGGCUAUGUUAGCCGGGCGACGGUUGUCCCGGUUUAAGCAUGUAGGCUGGUUGUCCAGGCAAAUCCGGAUAAUCAAGGCUGAGGUGUGAUGACGAGGCACUACGGUGCUGAAGUAACAAAUGCCCUGCUUCCAGGAAAAGCCUCUAAGCAUCAGGUAACAUUAAAUCGUACCCCAAACCGACACAGGUGGUCAGGUAGAGAAUACCAAGGCGCUUGAGAGAACUCGGGUGAAGGAACUAGGCAAAAUGGUGCCGUAACUUCGGGAGAAGGCACGCUGGUGUGUAGGUGAAGUCCCUGCGGAUGGAGCUGAGACCAGUCGAAGAUACCAGCUGGCUGCAACUGUUUAUUAAAAACACAGCACUGUGCAAACACGAAAGUGGACGUAUACGGUGUGACGCCUGCCCGGUGCCGGAAGGUUAAUUGAUGGGGUUAUCCGUAAGGAGAAGCUCUUGAUCGAAGCCCCGGUAAACGGCGGCCGUAACUAUAACGGUCCUAAGGUAGCGAAAUUCCUUGUCGGGUAAGUUCCGACCUGCACGAAUGGCGUAAUGAUGGCCAGGCUGUCUCCACCCGAGACUCAGUGAAAUUGAACUCGCUGUGAAGAUGCAGUGUACCCGCGGCAAGACGGAAAGACCCCGUGAACCUUUACUAUAGCUUGACACUGAACAUUGAGCCUUGAUGUGUAGGAUAGGUGGGAGGCUUUGAAGCGUGGACGCCAGUCUGCGUGGAGCCAACCUUGAAAUACCACCCUUUAAUGUUUGAUGUUCUAACGUUGGCCCCUUACCGGGGUUGCGGACAGUGUCUGGUGGGUAGUUUGACUGGGGCGGUCUCCUCCCAAAGCGUAACGGAGGAGCACGAAGGUUAGCUAAUCCUGGUCGGACAUCAGGAGGUUAGUGCAAUGGCAUAAGCUAGCUUGACUGCGAGCGUGACGGCGCGAGCAGGUGCGAAAGCAGGUCAUAGUGAUCCGGUGGUUCUGAAUGGAAGGGCCAUCGCUCAACGGAUAAAAGGUACUCCGGGGAUAACAGGCUGAUACCGCCCAAGAGUUCAUAUCGACGGCGGUGUUUGGCACCUCGAUGUCGGCUCAUCACAUCCUGGGGCUGAAGUAGGUCCCAAGGGUAUGGCUGUUCGCCAUUUAAAGUGGUACGCGAGCUGGGUUUAGAACGUCGUGAGACAGUUCGGUCCCUAUCUGCCGUGGGCGCUGGAGAAUUGAGGGGGGCUGCUCCUAGUACGAGAGGACCGGAGUGGACGCAUCACUGGUGUUCGGGUUGUCAUGCCAAUGGCACUGCCCGGUAGCUAAAUGCGGAAGAGAUAAGUGCUGAAAGCAUCUAAGCACGAAACUUGCCCCGAGAUGAGUUCUCCCUGAGACUUUAAGUCUCCUGAAGGAACGUUAAAGACGAUGACGUUGAUAGGCCGGGUGUGUAAGCGCAGCGAUGCGUUGAGCUAACCGGUACUAAUGAACCGUGAGGCUUAACCUU